GAUGAACGCUGGCGGCGUGCUUAACACAUGCAAGUCGAACGGAAAGGCCCAAGCUUGCUUGGGUACUCGAGUGGCGAACGGGUGAGUAACACGUGGGUGAUCUGCCCUGCACUUCGGGAUAAGCCUGGGAAACUGGGUCUAAUACCGGAUAGGACGAUGGUUUGGAUGCCAUUGUGGAAAGUUUUUUCGGUGUGGGAUGAGCUCGCGGCCUAUCAGCUUGUUGGUGGGGUAAUGGCCUACCAAGGCGUCGACGGGUAGCCGGCCUGAGAGGGUGUACGGCCACAUUGGGACUGAGAUACGGCCCAGACUCCUACGGGAGGCAGCAGUGGGGAAUAUUGCUCAAUGGGCGCAAGCCUGAUGCAGCGACGCCGCGUGGGGGAUGAGGGCCUUCGGGUUGUAAACUCCUUUCGCUAGGGACGAAGCGUUUUUGUGACGGUACCUGGAGAAGAAGCACCGGCUAACUACGUG
rnacentral:rRNA from 1 species